rnacentral:rRNA from 1 species
UACGUAGGGUGCAAGCGUUGUCCGGAAUUAUUGGGCGUAAAGAGCUCGUAGGCGGUCUGUCGCGUCGGAUGUGAAAACCCAGGGCUCAACCCUGGGCCUGCAUUCGAUACGGGCAGACUAGAGUUCGGUAGGGGAGACUGGAAUUCCUGGUGUAGCGGUGAAAUGCGCAGAUAUCAGGAGGAACACCGGUGGCGAAGGCGGCUCGCUGGACCUUUUCUGACGCUGAGGCGCGAAAGCUAGGGGAGCAAACGGG